AUACUUACCUGGCGCUGGGGAUACCUUGAUCAUGCCGGCUGUUCCCCAGGGCCAGGCUGCUCCAUUGCACUGCGGAGUGGUUGACCCUUGCAAUUAUUUUGAUUUCUAUCAAUAAGAAAUUCAUAAUAAUAAAAAAUGUAUACCCGAAUAAUUUAUAUAAUUUUAUUUAUACCUCGAAUAGA
rnacentral:snRNA from 9 species